rnacentral:rRNA from 1 species
GCGGCGGACGGGUGAGUAACACGUGGGCAACCUGCCCUGCAGACUGGGAUAACUUCGGGAAACCGGAGCUAAUACCGGAUAACACCGAAAACCGCAUGGUUUUCGGUUGAAAGGGGGCUUUUAGCUGUCACUGCAGGAUGGGCCCGCGGCGCAUUACCUAGUUGGUGAGGUAACGGCUCCCCAAGGCGACGAUGCGUAGCCGACCUGAGAGGGUGACCGGCCACACUGGGAAUGAGACACGGCCCAGACUCCUACGGGAGGCAGCAGUAGGGAAUCUUCCGCAAUGGACGAAAGUCUGACGGAGCAACCCCGCGUGAGCGAAGAAGGUCUUCGGAUCGUAAAGCUCUGUUGUCAGGGAAGAACAAGUACCGUUCGAACAGGGCGGUACCUUGACGGUACCUGACGAGGAAGCCACGGCUAACUACGUGCCAGCCGCCCCCGUAAUAC